GGGUCGGUACUCAAGCGGUCAACGAGGUCAGACUGUAAAUCUGAUGGCAACGCCUUCGCUGGUUCGAAUCCAGCCCGGCCCA
rnacentral:tRNA from 1 species